GAAAUGCGAUAAGUAAUGUGAAUUGCAGAAUUCAGCGAAUCAUCGAAUCUUUGAACGCACAUUGCGCCUAUUAGUAUUCUAGUGGGCAUGCCUGUUCGAGCGUCAUUUCAACCCUCAGGCCCGUAUAGGUCUGGCGUUGGGGCCUUUUGCUGUCCAGCAAGCCCUGAAAACAAGUGGCGGGCCCGCUGAGACCCCGAGCGCAGUAGUUUACACCAUCGCUUAGGGACGUCCGGCGGGCGACACCAGCCGUAAAAGCACUUCAAGUCUACAGGUUGACCUCGGAUCAGGUAGGAAUACCCGCUGAACUUAA
rnacentral:misc_RNA from 1 species